UUUCAUCAUGGCGUCUCGUGUGACAGACGGGAUGUGGUCUGUCGUGGCGGUAGAUCGCAACUUGAAGCAAAUGGCGUUGCGGUUUGUAAUGACGGGACUACUGUAAUUUCAUUGGUUGAAAUACUAUUGUAAUUCAUAUUGAAUUGUACAUACAUUCUACGAAUGUCUGUAACAUCGGUUGCAUAUUGAGUUUUUGUUAACUCUUAAAUGAAUGUUCCUUCAAAAUAAAAUUUGUAAAAAUUUUAGUUUUUGUGUAUGUAAAUUAUUCUUUUUUAUUAAAAAAUGGUUCUUUUGUCAGAUUACACAGGCCAACAUGGUAAAUGAUAUGCGGGCAGUUCAGCUACUUAUCGGCGGAAAUGGUCGUGGAGUGUUUUUGCCGAGGAAGUUUCAGCAUAAAUGUUAAUCAGAGUUAAAUGGCAUCUUGACAUCUUCUGUAUGAUGAAGACGUGCUCUAUGGCCAUUGCUCCUUAAUGGGUAUAUAUGACUUCUGGCAGUACUGGCUCACUGAAAGCAACGUUAUUGGUGCCUUGUGGAUGAAGUAAGGUGGAGUGUGAAACUGCACCAGCAUCAUGUACAUCUGCAAGCACAAAUAUUCUCCAGUUUGUGGAUCGUUUAUUGAUGGCUAUACGAUUUUUGUCACAUUUUUUCCAGUGAAUCGUGUGAGAGGCAGGGUUUUGUAAUGAUCCCAUGGAUUCUAAUGCAGGAAGCCAUAAUUUCUGUGAAAACUGGUGGAUGCUCAUUGAAUUCUAUAAGGAAACACACAUGGUCCUGUUGAUUGGCUAUUUCAGAAGAUUGAGUUCAACAACAUGCUGUCUGUGGCUCAUGAAUAGUUACCCACAUGAGUGGAUUUCCAUGAUGGGCCAAAACUGCAGGCGGGCAGUUUCUGCGGGUAUCUGUAAUGGAUCGAGCCUGCUGAUCUGAAGCCAUUCGGUUCCAACUAAUGUGUAGACUGUACUGUCCAAUCCAGUCUUACCAAUCUGCCGACGGGCCGAGUCUGUUCAUGUGUGGUGUAUCACAGCGGAUUUUCAUAGUUUAUCCACAGACCCAGGACUUUUUUGCUCCUUAGCAGGCCAUAGGCCAUGGGCGAUGAAUUUCAGGAUUUGCAGCUGUCUCACUGCAAAUAUGUUCUACAGUGUGGCGUUUUGUAGACAUUUUAUUUGUUCUAAUAAAUUUUGGCAUUUAAAAAGUUUAUUUUUUGGAAAGUAUGGAUGAUAAGAAGAAGAAAAUUUAGUCGCUGGCAGUUUUUAAUAUGUACUCGUAUUUCUUGAAGGAAAAAUCACAAAAUGCCUGUAAAAUAAUAGGUGUAACACAGUGGGUAAUAAGUGACAAUAACAAACAUAGUAGAGCCAACAUUUUAUUGUUGCUCACCUAUAGUCUUUGUUUACACAAUUCUUCCGCAUCUUAACUUCUUCCGUGAGCCUACUUUUCUCUGAGGUUAUUUUUUAAAUCAGAGAAGAUAUUUUAAAUUCGUCUUGCAACUCCAAGGAAAAGUGUAUUUUUGUCACCAAAUGUUUUGUUGCGUUGAAUUAAAACAUUAGUGAUCUUAAUGAAAAAACACACACACACACACACACACACACACACACACACACACACACACACACACCAUUUGGCUUGCAUUCUCCAUCUAAACAAUUCAUCACAAAAGACGUUGUUUUUAGUGCCAAAGAUUUUUGUUCACAUCAGGAAACACCAUCUGGUUAAAAGUUUUUUAUAGAUAUUUCCUCAUUUACACUAUUGUUUCUUGUACUGUAGCUGCGAACACAGAUUGUCAACUUACUUUUUAACUUACUGUUGGGAUCUCGGAAUUUGUCAGGGAAAAAUGUUAAAACUUGUUGGAAAUCAGGGAAUGUCACUUGGGGAAACUUGUGUCAAUGCUGAGUCUAUUUUAGUGACACCGUUGAGCAAUUUGAAAAUAGGUACCUGAAUGAUUGAGUUAUUAUGUAAGUUUCUUAACAGCUCCUAAGCUUGAUGGCUGCUGUGCUCAAGUCAGUUUGUCAUCAGCUUUAUCUGUAGACCGUCCUGUGAUUCAGGUAUGCUGUUUAAAGAGCAUGCUCACUAAGAGGCCCUUCAUUGAAAAGCUUAUAACAUUCUUUUAUCGUGACAGCUGAUUGAGCUGUUCUCUUUUAGGUAGCUUGUUCUGCAGGUUUUUGGAACAGUUGUGUUUAAUAUUUGAGUGCAUUUGGAGUUCAAAUUAAGUGUGUUUGGAGAGACUGUGCAAUUUUUUGUCAAACAUAAAGAAAUGUUCAUCUGUCUUUAAGUUGUUCUUCCUCUUGAAUUAAAUCAUCCUGGGGUAUUCUGAAGAAAUGAUCUGCCACGUAAUUUGUCUAUGGUGAAAGCUUGAUAUACGUGCACCCCCCCCCCCCCCCUCUCUCUCUCUCUCUCUCUCUCUCUCUCUCUCUCUCUCUCUCUCUCUCUCUCUCUCUGGGAAUUGCUGCACUUACAAAGUUUAAGUCUGGAUAAUUUGCUGUGCCACAUUUUGUUGUUCAAUGAAGGAAGUAGUUUACUACUUGGAUAAUGAACAAGUUCUGAGCUUUGGUCCAUGACAUUAGCGCCUCUCCAGUUUGAUCCUUGUUUGUUCAGUCAUAAGUUACUGUUGGGGGGGGGGGGGGGGGGAGGGAGAGGUUAAAAUUGCCCAUCACAGUAGUUCUUAAUCUCCAUGUAUGUAAACCAACAGAUGUAUUGAGACAAUAUCCAACAUUGUUGGUUUGUAUGGGAAGAUGUUGUGUAGGUCUUGUUUUAUAAAAAUAGCACUACCAUAUUGACUAGUCUGCCAUCCACUAGCAACAUUCCUGGAGCAGUUGAAGUCUUUGUAAGUCACCUCUGUAUGUUCCUUUCAUUAAACAUUUCUUGAAUGAAUGCACAAAAUGUAUUUGUUAUCUCAGCCCAAAUUGUGUAAUGAUUGUCCUGUGACAGAAAUACUUUAUAUAAUUAUGAAUACAAAACAGGUUUUAGAAAACUGAUUUCACUUUUGUAUUUGAAAUAGGUUUGGUUUGUAAUUGCUUUUGUGGGACACUUUAAUGUUGUGACUUUAACUCUUUGCAGAUUCUCUGCACCAUUAACUAGUGGCAUAAGUUUCUUGUUUUGAUUAUGGCUGAUAAGUGGAUUUUGCCAGAAAUUGGUGACUAAGUUCCUAAAUAAAAUUUCAUUAGGAUAAAACAGAUUUUGGUUUUGUUUUUCGCUCUGUGAUGCAUUAAAGCAGUCCCUGUGAUGGGGAUGUUGAUCACCAAAUUUUAAUCAUAAGAUGCAUAAGCUAUGAUUUUCCAAUGUGUCAGGAAUGAGAUUUUUGUUGAACAAGAGAUACAAUGAUGGCACAUCAACAUGUUGGAUAAUUAGCGUCUUCUAAGUGGUGCCAUUCCUGUUGCUGUGUCAUUGUGUUAUUUUCAUAAAUGUUAACUUAUUGAAAGUGAUACAGAAUUUAUCAUUAACUUUUAUUGCUUGUUAGGCAUGGCAUAUUACUUAAACAUUAGUGUAAGUGGUCAUUAUCAGUUAAAAACUUCAAUGUUUAUUUUUGUAAAAGUUCUGUGAACUAAAUACUUAGAGUAGUUUACAGUAAAACAAAGAACUCUGUAGCCCAGUAGGUCAUGUGGCGUUAAAAUAAAUGGAUUUGAAACUGGCCAUUAGUAGUUAUAUAUUGUCUGCAAUCUACUGAAUGUUGGAUUUCUGUUAACACAACAAUUUAAUUUUUGUGCUGGAAUGUUAAAUAUAAGGUAGAUAAUUUUUAUGAAAUAUCCAGAGAUGACAUGAUCUUGCACUUCUGUACUAUUUACUAUAUACAUCUUAAAUAAAGACUUGUGCAAUAUAUACCGCAGUGCGAUUGUCUACUUCUGUUUAGUAUUAGAAUGGCUCUCUUAUACGUUGAAGUAGUGUAGUUUGAUUUAGUAAGAUUAUAAUUUUCCACCAUCCAAUAGGGAACAUUCCAAUAAUAGAAUGUUAUAAGUGGGAGGCAGAUAAAUCAAUGACGUGUUAUCAAGUGCCAGAGCAAUGAUGAAAAUUUUCAUACAUUCUUUCUGGCUGUAAAUAAAUAUGUGUAAGAACACAACAUGACAGAAAAUUAAGCACAUGUAAGAGGAGCAGGAAACACAGAAACUUCAUAGGUUGACACAUUAUUCGAUAUUGUUUCAGUGAUUACAAAAUUGUGGCAAAUUUACAAAAAACUAAGUAGUAUGAGCCCACUUAUUAGUAUGACAUUGCACCUCUUCUGGUCUGGGCACAUGCGUUGAUUUUGGUUAGGAAAGGUGUCGGAAACAAUUGUAACUUCUCCUGAGGUGAACUGAUCAUUUAAUCUCAGUACUGGCACUGGAAAUAUUGAUGUAUGAGCUGGUCCCAACAUAAUGCAGACAAUUCAUAGAUUCAUGCUGUUGAACACUGACACCUCAUUACUGUGGUGUGAGAGGCAGUAACACAGAAGACAGAAGAUGGCAGUGAUGUAAUCUUGCACUGAGAGUUACCUCAGUCACUACCAGUGAUGACCUGAUGUCAUACAUAAUGGCACCUCAUAAUGUGAUGCCAGGAAUAACACUGCUGUGCCUUUCCAAGACAUUGGAAGAAUAGGACUUCUCCACAUGUCGCCACCAUGCUCCUAAAUGGUCAUAUGGGGUAGUGCAGAACGUCGAAUCAUCACAGAAUACAGAACAGUGUGCUGAUGUUCAUCAGCUGUCCAAACUUUCUGGUCAUGGCACCACUCCAAACACAGCCGUUUGUGAUGUGGUAUUAAUGGUGGUAUGUGCACGGGGUGAAAAUCUGUCAGACUGCUGCUGGUUUCCAACCAAUGAUGCAAGAUGACACAGAAUAUUGCAAGGAGUCUAUUACUUGUUCUUUGAUGGUAGGUGCAAAUGUGAAAAGUCAGGAUUUGAGUGGUGCGCAAUACGGCAAUCCUCCCGUGUGAUGGUCAGACAUAAUCGACUGGGUACUUUAUAAGUACAGCUGAUCACACUUUCCUAUGUGGUUAGAUAUCAGGUCACUGUCACAGCCAAAUGCCCCAAAAAUCUAGAUAUUGGAAGAUUCAACCAGUCAGCCAAAUGGAGAUCCUUAAUAAUGACCACUUCACUGUCAGUGGCUUGCCCACCAAAGUGUGCAGCAUCUGUGUAGUUACAUUGAUAUCAGACCACAUCGUGUAAAUGCUUCAGUUUUUGUCGUGCAAUGUAUAGUAAAGAGGAAAUCUUAGAAGAAACAACAGGUAACUAAUUGUAGUUAUACUUAGAAAAUGUGUUCAAAAAUUUAAGUGUGCAUAUGUAUCACCUAUCAUUGUUGUAAAAGGGAUAUUGUUGUAAAGAAGUGAAAAGUAAUUUAUUGAAGCAAUGUCAUCUAGCCUGCUUAUGGUGAUGCUUGAGAGGCAUAGUUAUGGUGUAGUUAUAUACAUUUUCUGAAAUAUCAUUACAACUUUCUUGAAAGUUUAAUGAAAUGCUCUUGAGUUUUAACACUAGAUUCUUCUUCUUUUUCCUGCACACACCACAUUGAGGUUUGUGUUUUGAUAGGAAUGUAUGCCUCUUGCAUCUCUAAUUGCAAACUUUGUAUUAAUUAACAAGUGUUUGUCUCAACAUUUACACAAAGCUCAGUAGAACAUUCAUAGUAAAAGUAACAGUUCCCUUUAUGCUCUGCCGUCUUAGUGCAUGGUUGUGGCAAGACUUGUCAGGGCACCCAAGUAAAAUUCUGCUAAGUUACUGUGUCUUUUAUAAUCAAAUUGCCAUAAAAACACCCUACUACUGAUGCCUGGAAGCAUUUCUGUAUACCUCAAUAGUGCAAGAUGGGAAGGGCUUAAGCAUUAACAAGCAAGACCAAAAGCAGUCUCAGGAAUAGAAUUUUUAUUAGUGUCUUCAUAUUGCUGAACUUUAAAAAAGUAUUGGAUGGUACUUACAUAAACAUAAAGUACUCUUAAUACCUCUCCCAUCCUUACAUAAUGUACGGUUUUGGAAAUCUUCUUAAAAGGUAAAGUGAUUUGUUCAUGGUCUGGAGGCUGACAAGAUGCGUAAAAUCAAAGUAAUUGUUAGCUUUUCACUAACAAAUGUUUGUUGUUAAAGGCUACGGUAGCUGAUGUGAUUGGUUACUUUCACAGUAUCUUAUUUACAAUAAAAUGUCUGAUAGUGAAUCAGUUAUAAACCAAACUUUGUUCUGAGCAUGUGUUGAAUAGUGGGCAGAGACGUUUAAGAGGCAAUAGUGGGAUGAAAGGUGGUUAGGCUUCAUAGAACCAUAAAUUACUGUUUCCAUUGAAAUCUGGGCAAAAGACUCAUUAUAAAACUGUACACUGUACUGUUCAUUGCUGGAAAUUUCCUGGAGAUUGAUAGCACAGCUUGGUGAUUAAACAUUUAAAAAGCCUGAUUUGCUUGGCGUAAUGGCUUCAAGGAUGGCCGUAAAUGGACAGGAAAUAAAAUCUAUGAAAGUCUUCCAAAGACAAUCGCUAACACCAUUCAUGAUCUCGUUAAUGGAAAUGCUUAUAUUUUUGAAUUUUUUUCUCGUCGCUGAUUUGAAGUUAUAGGUGCUCGGCUGGAGUGGCAUUUUUGUAUAUAAAUUUCUUUUCUUGAAUGUCACUCUGUAUAAUUGUGAUCUUUGGGUAAGGUUAAGAAUUCCUUGUUGCAGUAAUUGUUGCAGCCAACUAAUACAAGAAAUCACCAUUCACAGCAAUACCACCUCAGUACUGCAGUUCUCAUUUGUCUGAAAUUGGGAGAAUGAAAUGGCUUCUAUUUGGCCAUCUUCCAUCUUAUCAUACUUAUCUCUCAGUGAUUUUCAUCUCUUUGGAUGUGAAGAGUUACCAGCUGUGGAAGAAUUUGCACAAUAUGCUGCUUUAAUGUUUGCAGUUAAAAUUUUGGGAGACAUCAUUACAAGUUACUGACAUAAGCCCUGGUGGCUGAAUGGACAUACAGUCUGAGGAACCUCUGGAAAUUACUGUUGUCCAAAAGGUAUGUUUACUGAGUCUUUUACAAAUUUGUUGCUGUUGUCACAGUGUACCAAAGACAAGCCUCAUUUUGAGACAAAAAUCAGUUCUUUUAUCAGAUUAAUUUGUUUUUUACUUUUGAAUACAUUGUGGGAGUGAACAGUGAUCAAUGUAGUUACAAAUAUUUACUAUGAAAAACAGUCUUGAUCACAAAUUAUUUAUUCCGAUGACUGGUUUCGACUCCAACCGUGAUCAUCUUCAGACCAAUGAGUAAGAACCACCUCCUGAUGGUAAAUCACUACUCUCUGAUUUACCAUCAGAAGGAAGUUCUUACUCAUUGGUCUGAAGAUGACCACAGUUGUGGUCGAAACUGGUCACCGGAAUAAAUAAUUUAUGAUCAAGACUGUUUUUGAUAGUAAAUAAUUUGUUUUUGCCUGCUGCUUUGACAGUUUAUUUCAUAAUUUUUCUGACGAACACAUUAUUUCAUUGUACUAAGAUUAAAGCUUUGGGCUGCAAUAAUACUAUUUUGUGUAUUUCCUACUACCAAGUACAGAUCUCAUAAAUUUAUUUCCUAUUGUUGAAUCAAUACUCAAUAGUGUACGAAUUAAUUGGGAAAAGUUCAUAUUUUACAAGGAAUUGAAGUUGGUUACCUGUAACAAAGUUUAUCAGCCCAAUUGUUGGACUACUGCUGCCUUGAUUGUGAACAACAGUUGUAGGUCCUCCCUCCAGUUCAAUUGAGUGCUUGUAUGUGUAGCAACAUUCUGUGCUAUUUCUGUGUUCUCGAGAGGAAAACUAAAAUGGAUAUUUCACCCAAUAAGUGGGCAAAAAUACUUGCCCUUCAUGAACAAACAUUUAUGAUUGUAGGAGACAUUGCUUCUGUUGUUGGUGUGGAGAAAGUCUAAUGUUUAAGGGGUUACUAGGGCAUACAGUGGUACUGCCUCAUUGUCUCCAAAGAGAAAAGGCAAAUGUGGAUGAAAACAAAAAAACCAUUUAUAGAACUGACAAAACUCUACUUGGAAACAGUAGAAUUCAUCCUUACAAGACAUGUAAGGACUUUCAGGGAUAUUUAUUGGCUACUUGGGUUGAAACUGAGUCUUUAAUGGUACAGUGUAGGCUUCUUGAUUGUGGGUCAAAGGCACAAAAGCCAGUAAAGUAGCAGUUGUUAAAAGCACGAAGAAGAAACUUUUGGCAUGGGCCAAAUUAUAAAACUAUUGGACCUCCAGUAAUUGGGAAGUGUAAUUUCAUUGUUGAGCCCCACUUUGUUGAAGGAUACAGAGCAAGGGUUGUCAGGUGAAGCAGAUGUGGGACAAUGAGAGCUGAGAAUCUGGAACAGACUGUAAAAUACCCUCCCAAAAGAAAUGUUUGGGGGUUUCUUCAUGGCAAGUGGCCCUGGGGCACUAGUUCCAGUUGAUGGCAUGUUGAAGUCAUCCAGGUGCAUGGAAAUCCUUAGCACAGGAGUGUACCAUUCCUACUGACCUUCGCAGGUGGUUAAGGAAAAUUUCAACAUGAGGUAGUGCUGUGUAUUAUAAAGCACUCAGGACUUUCAUGGAAGAAAACAGUAAUGGUGUUUCAUUGACCUGGUAAUUCACCACACAUCAGUCCCAUCAAGAGUCUGUGGAGUAUUGUCAAAGGGCAUCUUCGUAAAAUAGACUGUACAGCAAAAGUAUGCAUAUUAGUAAAUGUAGUAAAAGUGUAGUUUCUAGACAGAGUGUACAAAAAUGUACUCUAACCUAGUCAAAUCCUUGCCUCAGCAUAUUCAGAAGCUCAUUAAAACAAAAGGAGCACAAAUUAGUUAUUAACAUUUGGUAAGCUACUACUGCAUUACACAUAUAGUAUAAAUGGGCACAAUUAAAAGUUUGUCUUGUUCCAAUUAAUUUGCACACUGUUGUACACUACCUGACAAGAGUGAACCACACAGAAGGAGAGGAGGAAACAAAAUGAUGUUUCACGGAUUGAGAGGGAAUGUGAUGCUAUUUCAGUGAUUACAAAAUUAAGUCAAAUUUACAAAGAAUUGGGCAAUAUGAGCCCACCUAUUAGUAUUGUAUUGGCUCUGGACUGGAUGCAUACACUAUUGUGGUUGGGAAGAGUGUCAUGAAGCUGUUGUAUGUUCUCCUGAGACAAGCUGGCCCACAACUGUUGUAGCUGAUCCCUGAUACGCUGAAAACCGGUACUGAGAUGGAGGUGAUGUCUGAGCUGGUCCAACACUUUUUCUAUCGGGAGCAGGGUUGGAGAUCUUGGUGGCUAUGGGAGUAUGUCAGCAUCAUGCACACAGUUCAUGAAGAUGUGUUGUAUGUGGAUAAAUAUUGUCCAUUCAAAAAUGACACCACAGAGCCUCUCCAGAUCACCAGAUGAAUGGCGCCUCUUUCUGGGAUGCCGAGAAAUGUCAUCCAGUUAGGGCACAACCACAAUUCAUCGCUGAACAGUGCAACACCAUUUAUCAGCAGUCUGUACUGCCCAGUCAUAGCCCUAGCCCAAAUGUAGCCAUUUGUGUUGUGUUACCAACGGGCUAUAGACGGAGUAAUAAUUCCCUAGUCCACCUGCUACUAGCCUCCGACCAAUGGUGCAGGAAAACGUAGAAUGUUGCAGGCAGACCACUACUUGUUUUCGUAGACAGGUGGCAAAGGGUUUAUGAUGUGCCUGGUUCAGAAUACAGCAGUCCUCCCUUGUGGCAGAUGUGGUAGAUGGUAACUUCGAUGACAAAUAUAGUUGGUCUUUUGUUCUUGUUUGGACGUUAUUGAACCACUGUCACAUCUUGACGCCCCACAAAUCUAGAUAUUACAUAGUUUGACCAGCUGGCCCAACAGAGACCUAUAAUGAACCCCUUUCAAACUCUGUCAGGUGCUGAUAAUGCUGUCUGACAUUAGUAUGUGGCAUCUGUGCCCUUCAUAAUGACUACUGAACAUCUGAUGCUAUUCAGCUUAUAUAACCUACCAGGUAUGGUAACAGCAGUAAAAAUGAACAAAACUAAUGCACUCUGAAUGUUCUACCUCCCACAGAGAAACCAACUCAAGUCACUUAAGUACACUACUGGCCAUUAAAAUUGCUACACCACGAAGAUGACGUGCUACAGACGCGAAAUUUAACCGACAGGAAGAAGAUGCUGUGAUAUGCAAAUGAUUAGCUUUUCAGGGCUUUACACAAGACUGACAUGAGGAAAGUUUCCAACCGAUUUCUCAUACACGAACAGCAGCUGACCGGCGUUGCCUGCUGUAACGUUGUUGCGAUGCCUCGUGUAAGGAGGAGAAAUACGUACCAUCACGUUUCCGACCUUGAUAAAGGUCGGAUUGUAGCCUAUCGCAAUUGCGGUUUAUCGUAUCGAGACAUUACUGCUUGCGUUGGUCGAGAUCAAAUGACUGUUAGCAGAAAAUGGAAUUGGUGGGUUCAGGAGGGUAAUAUGGGAUGCCGUGCCGGAUCCCAAUGGCCUCGUAUCACUAGCAGUCAAGAUGACGGGCAUCUUAUCUGCAUGGCUGUAACGGAUCGUGCAGUCACGUCUCGAUCCCUGAGUCAACAGAUGGGGACGUUUGCAAGACAACAACCAUAUGCACGAACAGUUUGAAGACGUUUCCAGCAGCAUGGACUACAAGCUCGGAGACCAUGGCUGCGGUUACCCUUGACGCUGCAUCACAGACAGGAGCGCCUGCGAUGGUGUACUCAACGACGGACCUGGGUGCAUGAAUGGCAAAAAGCCAUUUUUUCGGAUGAAUCCAGGUUCUGUUUACAGCAUCAUGAUGGUCGCAUGCAUGUUUGGCGACAUCGCAGUGAACGCACAUUGGAAGCGUGUAUUCGUCAUCACCCUACUGGCGUCUCACCCAGUGUGAUGGUAUGGGGUGCUAUUGGUUACACGUCUCGGCCAUCUCUUGUUCGCAUUGGCGGGUGAUGGGUUAAGACCCAUGGCUCUACCCUUCAUUCGAUCCCUGCGAAACCCUACAUUUCAGCAGGAUAAUGCACACCCACUUGUUGCAGAUCCUGUACGGUCCUUUCUAGAUACAGAAAAUGUUAGACUGCUGUCCUGGCCAGCACAUUCUCCAGAUCUCUCACCAAUUGAAAACGUCUGGUCAAUGGUGGCCGAGCAACUGGCUCAUCACAAUACGCCAGUCACUACUCUUGAUGAACUGUGGUAUCGUGUUGAAACUGCAUGGGCAGCUCUACCAGUACACGCCAUCCAAGCUGUUUGACUCAAUGCCCAGGCAUAUCAAGGCUGUUAUUACGGCCAGAGGUGGUUGUUCUGGGUACUGAUUUCCCAGGAUCUAUGCACCCAAAUUGCAUGAAAAUGUAAUCACAUGUCAGUUGUAGUAUAAUAUAUUUGUCCAAUGAAUACCCGUUUAUCAUCUGCAUUUCUUCUUGGUGUAGCCAUUUUAAUUGCCAGUAGUGUACUUGCUGAUGAUGUCUACAUGCAGGAAGUUAGUGCCACUGACCAAGUCUUCCAAAUGCUUUUGUUUCCCCUGGCAUUGUAUAUAAAAGAUCCCAUUUAGUCAUAUAAUUAUUUUUUAUUUAUGAGCAACAGCACUUUUGUUACAUUUGCAAUAUGUAUAUUUGUACUGGUCAAUGUUUUGUGAUGAAUAAAAUCUCAAUUGAAGAAACUGACUUUGUGUUGCUUUUUCCUCAGUGUCUCUUGUUGUCUAGUAAUAAUUAGUAUUGUAAGUUAAGAUAGACUGAAAAAUGUCUUAUUGAAGAAGAAACGUAAAAUAACUGAAUGAGAAACAAUGGUUUCUGGUAAACUUUAAAGCCUCUUUGCUGACCACAACUUGGUAAUGUCUUCACAGUUUGAAUUGCAUAAAAGCUUAUUUAGAAAGAACCAUUUUUGUUCAUGCUGAAAUAAGAAUAAUUGCCUCAUUGGUGUUACAUGUAAGAUGAAAUUUUGCUGUGGUCACUAUUGAUAUGAAGACACAUUGCAUGCUUGGGAGUCAUAUUCUGUAACAGAGGAUUCUAGUACAUAACAAAUUACGCAAAAAUAAAACUAGGAAUGGAGGACAUAAUGCAUUUUAGCAAGGAUUUUUAAAACUAACUUUGUGUUAAAUGUGUAGUGCAGAUGGGAACCCAAGACAUUUUGAAAAAGCAGAGAGCUGAUGUAUUGUGGACAAUUUCUUCGAAUUCUUAGCAACUAAACAGAACUUACUUUCUUGAAAUCUACUUCAGUGACUACACACAAAAUGUGAUGUUAUGUUUAAUACCUUGU